rnacentral:lncRNA from 1 species
UCUUUGCAUUUAGAACGUAUUUUCUAAGAAAUUGUAUCUUUGCAUUUAGAAUGUAUUUUCUAAGAAAUUGUAACUUUGCAUUUAGAACGUAUUUUCUAAUAAACUGUAUCUUUGCAUUUAGAACAUAUUUUCUGAGAAAUUGUAUCUUUGCAUUAAGAACAUAUUUACUAAGAAAUUGUAUCUUUACAUUUAGAACGUAUUUUCUAAGAAAUUGUAACUUUGGAUUUAGAAUGUAUUUUCUAAGAAAUUGUAUCUUUGCAUUUAGAACGUAUUUUCUAAGAAAUUGUAUCUUUGCAUUUAGAACGUAUUUUUUAAGAAAUUGUAUCUUUGCAUUUAGAACAUAUUUUCUUAGAAAUUGUAACUUUGCAUUUAGAACGUAUUUUCUAAG